rnacentral:lncRNA from 1 species
AACACUUAAUAGUAUGGAAGCUGAAUAUGAUGUACAAAUUAAAGAGAAUGAUUUACAACUCAAGAAAGAAAUCACCUUAUGAAAAGAGAAUGAUUACAAAAUCAUAUUCUGAAUGGACUUGCAGAUGAUCUAUGUGGUUAACCUGAUUGAUGAGCGAUUUAUUGCUUUGAUCAAUAUUACCAACAUGAUUGGUGAAUCUGAUGGUUG